rnacentral:tRNA from 1 species
CGGCGGGCUGGCCCAGGAGGGCUGGCAACUCCUGCUCGCGAGGGCCGUCCAGGGACUGGGCGCGGCCGUGCUGGCGCCGUCCACGCUGAC